rnacentral:rRNA from 1 species
CAAUCAAACCGGGAGAUAGCUGGUUCUCCCCGAAAGCUAUUUAGGUAGCGCCUCGUGAAUUCAUCUCCGGGGGUAGAGCACUGUUUCGGCUAGGGGGCCAUCCCGGCUUACCAACCCGAUGCAAACUGCGAAUACCGGAGAAUGUUAUCACGGGAGACACACGGCGGGUGCUAACGUCCGUCGUGAAGAGGGAAACAACCCAGACCGCCAGCUAAGGUCCCAAAGUCAUGGUUAAGUGGGAAACGAUGUGGGAAGGCCCAGACAGCCAGGAUGUUGGCUUAGAAGCAGCCAUCAUUUAAAGAAAGCGUAAUAGCUCACUGGUCGAGUCGGCCUGCGCGGAAGAUGUAACGGGGCUAAACCAUGCACCGAAGCUGCGGCAGCGAACGUAUCACCCAAGACAACUUUACGGAGUUGACGAUUGACGGAGCGAAGCGACGUCAAAGCGUUCAUUAAAGUCGAGUUGGCUUAGGGAUACGUUCGUUGGGUAGGGGAGCGUUCUGUAAGCCUGUGAAGGUGUGUCGUGAGGCAUGCUGGAGGUAUCAGAAGUGCGAAUGCUGACAUAAGU